rnacentral:ncRNA from 1 species
GAUGUUAGGGGCCGCACGCGCGCUACACUGACCGGAUCAGAGUGUGCUCUCUUUGGCCGACAGGUCCGGGAAACCCGUUGAACCCCGGUCGUGCUAGGGAUAGGGAAUUGCAAUUAUUUCCCUUGAACGAGGGAAUUCCCAGUAAGCGCGAGUCAUUAGCUCGCGUUGAUUACGUCCCUGCCCUUUGUACACACCGCCCGUCGCUACUUCCGAUUGAAUGGUUUAGUGAGGUCCUCCGAUUGGACCCGGUCCGGGCGGCGACGUCCGAGCCGGCGUCCGAGAAGACGAUCUAACUUGAUCAUUUAGAGGAAGUAAAAGUCGUAACAAGGUUUCCGUAGGUGAACCUGCGGAAGGAUCAUUA